GCAAAAUUGAUACUGUGAGAUUUCAAACCGUUUAAAACCAUGACUAGAGAGAGACUGUCAGCGAAUACAACAAAAAGAUGGUGUUUUUAUGAGAGGCAGAAAUAAUGCGGUGCGACUCGGAGUUUCGUCAUCAGCUGGAAGACGGUGUCCCUUUUGGCAGGAAGCAGAUUGUCACCUUGACUAUGGUGACACCAUUUUCCAGAUUGCAGCAGCCACUCCUCUUCAACCAUUGGACGCCGUCUACCAUAGUGCCCUUUGCUUUAUCACAGGUGACAGUUUUAAUAUUGUCCACUGCAUCCUGUAUCAAAAGGUUGGUUGGACCUCACUAAAAUCCCAGAGAUCACAUCAUUUACGACCUUCUUGUUUACGAAGCGCUUCUCCACAAGCUUCCAAUAUACCCCACUUCCCUAUUGGAAAUGUAAAAAUAUGAGAUAGCAAACCCGUUCGCAAGGUUGGUUAACUCUUGAGGUCCCCCUUGUCUCAACAAGGUUUUAUAAAUCCGCCUUUAGUUUUAACGCACCACAGUUAUGGAAUAGCUUACAAAAGAAAUGACACCUGUUGCUGACAGGGCAGUUUAAACUCUGUUGCUAAAUGUGUUCACUGAAGUGUGUAAUUCUUUCAAUUGACUAGUAUAACUUGUUGUAAGCACCUUAUGUAAUGUAUUUAUAGUGUCUAGUAUAACUUGUUGUAAGCACCUUAUGUAAUGUAUUUAUAGUGUCUAGUAUAACUUGUUGUAAGCACCUUAUGUAAUGUAUUUAUAGUGUCUAGUAUAACUUGUUGUAAGCACCUUAUGUAAUGUAUUUAUACUGUC